GGGUGAUGUGAUGGUAACCAUCUUUCGGGACUGACUCUAUACUGGAGAGUUUAUUUACGUUUACUGAUCACCA
ensembl:snoRNA small nucleolar RNA SNORD2